UUGUGGUUAAAAAGCUCGUAGUUGGAUCUCGGCGGUCUGAGGGCGGUUCGCUUGAUUGAGUGCUACUGCUCUAUAGGCCGUGGUUUUGCCAGAGGUCUCGGGGUGCUCUUAACCGAGUGUCCUGCGAUGCUGGCAAGUUUACUUUGAAAAAAUUAGAGUGCUCAAAGCAGGCUUUUACGCCUGAAUAUUCGUGCAUGGAAUAAUAGAAUAGGAAGUCGUUUCUAUUUUGUUGGUUUUCGGAAAUCGACUUAAUGAUUAAUAGGGACAGUCGGGGGCAUUUGUAUUCAAACGACAGAGGUGAAAUUCUUGGACCGUUUGAAGACAAACUACUGCGAAAGCAUUUGCCAAGAAUGUUUUCAUUAAUCAAGAACGAAAGUUAGAGGUUCGAAGGCGAUUAGAUACCGCCCUAGUUCUAACCCAUAAACGAUGCCAGCUAGCGAUCUGCCGACGUUUUCUUUGUAGACUCGGCAGGAAGCUUUCCGGGAAACCAAAGCAUUUGGGUUCCAGGGGA
rnacentral:rRNA from 1 species